rnacentral:rRNA from 1 species
UACGGGGGGAGCAAGCGUUGUUCGGAUUUACUGGGCGUAAAGGGCUCGUAGGCGGCCCACUAAGUCAGACGUGAAAUCCCUCGGCUUAACCGGGGAACUGCGUCUGAUACUGGAGGGCUUGAGUUUGGGAGAGGGAUGCGGAAUGCCGCGUGUAGCAGUGAAAUGCGUAGAGAUGCGGCGGAACACCGAUGGCGAAGGCAGCCCCCUGGGCUUAAAUUGACGCUGAGGCACGAAAGCGUGGGGAGCAAACAGG